rnacentral:rRNA from 1 species
CCUACGGGUGGCAGCAGUGGGGAAUAUUGGACAAUGGGCGAAAGCCUGAUCCAGCCAUGCCGCGUGUGUGAAGAAGGCCUUCGGGUUGUAAAGCACUUUCAGUGGGGAAGAAAGCCUUGGGGCCAAUACCCUCGAGGAAGGACAUCACCCACAGAAGAAGCACCGGCUAACUCCGUGCCAGCAGCCGCGGUAAUACGGAGGGUGCGAGCGUUAAUCGGAAUUACUGGGCGUAAAGCGCGCGUAGGCGGUCUGAUAAGCCGGUUGUGAAAGCCCCGGGCUCAACCUGGGAACGGCAUCCGGAACUGUCAGGCUAGAGUGCAGGAGAGGAAGGUAGAAUUCCCGGUGUAGCGGUGAAAUGCGUAGAGAUCGGGAGGAAUACCAGUGGCGAAGGCGGCCUUCUGGACUGACACUGACGCUGAGGUGCGAAAGCGUGGGUAGCAAACAGGAUUAGAUACCCCUGUAGUC